rnacentral:rRNA from 1 species
GAUGAACGCUGGCGGCGUGCCUAACACAUGCAAGUCGAGCGGACGGACGCGAAGCUUGUGUCUUUGAUGUUAGCGGCGGACGGGUGAGUAACGCGUGGAUCAUCUACUUAUAUUUCGGGGAUCAUUUCGGGAAACCGGAUCUAAUACCGGAGGAUAUUUUGAACCGCAUGGUGCAAAGGAGAAAGACGGCCUUGGUGUCUCUAAUAGAUGGUUCCGGGCUGCAUUGGCUGGUUGGUAAGGUAACGGCUUACCAAGGCAACGAUGCGUAGCCGACCUGAGAGGGUGAUCGGCCACACGGGAACGGAGACACGGUCCAGACUCCUACGGGAGGCAGCAGUCGGGAAUGUUCCGCAAUGGGCGAAAGCCUGACGCAGCAAGGCCGCGUGAGUGAUGAAGGCCUUCGGAUCGUAAAGCUCUGUUAUUGGGGAAGAACAUCUGUGUCAGUAACUGUGGACAUCGUGACGGUACCUAAUCAGGAAGCAACGGCUAACUACGUG